CGUGAGCGAUGAAGCCCUUCGGGGUGGUAAAGACUCUUUCGUCAGGGAAGAAACAGACGGUACCUGGAGAAGCAAGCUGCGGCUAACUACGUGC
rnacentral:rRNA from 1 species